AACUCUGGUUUCUCUUCAAUCACGCACAAGUUUUUCGCCUUUUACUAGAGACUUCCGUUGGAGAGCAACGCUUACGAGUUCAACCGUAUUUUGGACGGGCUUUGCUCCCGGCAGAGCC
rnacentral:snRNA from 1 species